AACGAACGCUGGCGGCAUGCCUAACACAUGCAAGUCGAACGAGACCUUCGGGUCUAGUGGCGCACGGGUGCGUAACGCGUGGGAACCUGCCCUUAGGUUCGGAAUAAGUCCCCGAAAGGGGUGCUAAUACCGGAUAAUGUCUUCGGACCAAAGAUUUAUCGCCUUUGGAUGGGCCCGCGUUGGAUUAGCUAGUUGGUAGGGUAAAAGCCUACCAAGGCGACGAUCCAUAGCUGGUCUGAGAGGAUGAUCAGCCACACUGGGACUGAGACACGGCUCAGACUCCUACGGGAGGCAGCAGUGGGGAAUAUUGGACAAUGGGCGAAAGCCUGAUCCAGCAAUGCCGCGUGAGUGAUGAAGGCCUUAGGGUUGUAAAGCUCUUUUACCCGGGAUGAUAAUGACAGUACCGGGAGAAUAAGCUCCGGCUAACUCCGUG
rnacentral:rRNA from 1 species